rnacentral:misc_RNA from 1 species
ACACCUGGCCAUGGCUGGUCGC